UUUUUAUGAAAAAAACAAGAACGGAAAAUAAUCAUAAUUUUUUAAACUUCAACCAAAACAAUCAACAAGUUGUAAUCGUCGUAAAAUAAUUUUAACCAUACUCACGUAUUUGUGUUUGUACGUCCCAC